AGUGAACGCUGGCGGUAGGCCUAACACAUGCAAGUCGAACGGCAGCACAGAGGAGCUUGCUCCUUGGGUGGCGAGUGGCGGACGGGUGAGGAAUACAUCGGAAUCUACUCUGUCGUGGGGGAUAACGUAGGGAGACUUACGCUAAUACCGCAUACGACCUACGGGUGAAAGCAGGGGGUCUUCGGACCUUGCGCGAUUGAAUGAGCCGAUGUCGGAUUAGCUAGUUGGCGGGGUAAAGGCCCACCAAGGCGACGGUCCGUAGCUGGUCUGAGAGGAUGAUCAGCCACACUGGAACUGAGACACGGUCCAGACUCCUGCGGGAGGCAGCAGUGGGGAAUAUUGGACAAUGGGCGCAAGCCUGAUCCAGCCAUACCGCGUGGGUGAAGGAGGCCUUCGGGUUGUAAAGCCCUUUUGUUGGGAAAGAAAUCCAUCUGGUUAAUACCCGGGUGGGAUGACGGUACCCAAAGAAUAAGCACCGGCUAACUUCGUGCCAGCCGCCGCAGUAA
rnacentral:rRNA from 1 species